AGCAGCCGCGGUAAUUCCAGCUCCAAUAGCGUAUAUUAAAGUUGUUGCAGUUAAAAAGCUCGUAGUUGAAUUUCGGGAUCAAGGGAUCGGUCAUGCCUUGGUAUGUACUGGUCUUAUUGGUUCUCACCUUCUAAAGAACCAUGAUGUCAUUCAUUUGAUGUUAUGGGGAAUUAGGACUGUUACCUUGAAAAAAUUAGAGUGUUUAAAGCAAGCUUACGCUUGAAUACAUUAGCAUGGAAUAAUGAAAUAGGACAUCAGAUUCUAUUUCGUUGGUUUCUAGGAUCGAUGUAAUGAUUAAUAGGGAUAGUUGGGGGCAUUAGUAUUCAAUUGUCAGAGGUGAAAUUCUUGGAUUUAUUGAAGACUAACUACUGCGAAAGCAUUUGCCAAGGAUGUUCUCAUUAAUCAAGAACGAAAGUUAGGGGAUCGAAGACGAUCAGAUACCGUCGUAGUCUUAACCAUAAACUAUGCCGACUAGGGAUCGGAUGAUGUUAAUUUUUUUAAUGUA
rnacentral:rRNA from 1 species